GAUGAACGCUGGCGGCGUGCUUAACACAUGCAAGUCGAACGGAAAGGCUCCUGCUUGCAGGGGUUCUCGAGUGGCGAACGGGUGAGUAACACGUGGGUGAUCUGCCCUGCACUUCGGGAUAAGCCUGGGAAACUGGGUCUAAUACCGGAUAGGACCACAUUUUGGAUGGUGUGGUGGAAAGUUUUUCGGUGUGGGAUGAGCUCGCGGCCUAUCAGCUUGUUGGUGGGGUAAUGGCCUACCAAGGCGUCGACGGGUAGCCGGCCUGAGAGGGUGUACGGCCACAUUGGGACUGAGAUACGGCCCAGACUCCUACGGGAGGCAGCAGUGGGGAGUAUUGCACAAUGGGCGCAAGCCUGAUGCAGCGACGCCGCGUGGGGGAUGACGGCCUUCGGGUUGUAAACACCUUUCGCUAGGGACGAAGCGCAAGUGACGGUACCUGGAGAAGAAGCACCGGCUAACUACGUG
rnacentral:rRNA from 1 species